rnacentral:rRNA from 1 species
GACAGAGGCCUCGAGCGUUUAGGCGGAAUCACUGGGCUUAAAGCGUGUGUAGGCGGAUCGUUAAGUACCUUGUGAAAUCCCACGGCUCAACCGUGGAACGGCUGGGUAUACUGGCGGUCUUGGGCCAUUCAGGGGCGACUGGAACAAGCGGUGGAGCGGUGAAAUGCGUAGAUAUCGCUUGGAACGCCGGAAGGUGAAAACAGGUCGCUGGGGAUGUGCCGACGCUGAGACACGAAAGCCAGGGGAGCAAACGGG